AAUACCGAAGGCGAAGGCAGCCCCUUGGGAAUAUACUGACGCUCAUGUGCGAAAGCGUGGGGAGCAAACAGGAUUAGAAACCCGAGUAGUCCUGGUCACCUCAGAGUGCCAGCAGCCGCGGUAAUACGUAGGUGGCAAGCGUUGUCCGGAAUUAUUGGGCGUAAAGCGCGCGCAGGCGGAUUAGUCAGUCUGUCUUAAAAGUUCGGGGCUUAACCCCGUGAUGGGAUGGAAACUGCUAAUCUAGAGUAUCGGAGAGGAAAGUGGAAUUCCUAGUGUAGCGGUGAAAUGCGUAGAUAUUAGGAAGAACACCAGUGGCGAAGGCGACUUUCUGGACGAAAACUGACGCUGAGGCGCGAAAGCCAGGGGAGCGAACGGGAUUAGAAACCCGAGUAGUCCGGAACUU
rnacentral:rRNA from 1 species